rnacentral:rRNA from 1 species
UGGGGAAUUUUGGACAAUGGGCGCAAGCCUGAUCCAGCAAUGCCGCGUGCAGGAUGAAGGCCUUCGGGUUGUAAACUGCUUUUGUACGGAACGAAACGGCUCUGUCUAAUACAUGGGGCUAAUGACGGUACCGUAAGAAUAAGCACCGGCUAACCACGUGCCAGCAGCCGCGGUAAUACGUAGGAUGCAAGCGUUAAUCGGAAUUACGGGGCGUAAAGCGUGCGCAGGCGGUCUUGUAAGACAGUCGUGAAAGCCCCGGGCUUAACCUGGGAACUGCGAUUGUGAAUGCAAGGCUAGAGUGUGUCAGAGGGGGGUGGAAUUCCACGGGUAGCAGUGAAAUGCGUAGAUAUGCGGAGGAACACCGAUGGCGAAGGAAAUCCCCUGGGCCUGCACUGACGCUCAUGCACGAAAGCGUGGGGAGCAAACA